rnacentral:lncRNA from 1 species
AGGGAAGAGAGCGGGAGGGAGCUCCUAUUUACUCUUUUAAUAAAAACGAUCAGUUCAACGAAAUGACAGCAUCAGUACAAACCGCUCGAAUUCAUCAGUUCAACAAUAGUAACACGAUGGCCUGAUGAACUGCUAAAAAGAAUAAUAUCCCCCUUAUAAAAAUACAAUCAGCCCCCCUAUGAUUUUACGAUCAUGUCCUUGCAAUUGUGCCCCCUCAUAAAAGUACAGUCAGCCCCGUGUAAAAGUACGACCAAGUGAUUAGCAAGCCCACCCUCUCAUCUGUGCGCUCCUUAUUGAUCCGAUGGCCCAAGAGUUGAGUUUCCAGAUUUUCACUGAAUCAGCGUUUUCACAUGAUCCCUGUCCCUCUGCUGGUUUCGAGUCACCCUUUAGAAGAUGCAUCGGCGCGGCCUCUCCAGGAUCUCGCCGCACCUCCGUCCCCUGCCAUGCAUCAACUUCCUCUUAGCCCUGCACAGAUAAGCAAUAUAGUACGCGGCAUCUGCUUCAUGUACUGAUUGAACCUAUAUGGCGUCAUAGUCUUAUUGCCACAACAUCCUCAUAGCCCUCCACCUGAUGGUAGAACAAGCACUACCAGAAUCAUGGUAACCCUCAUAUGUGCCUCGACGGAGUGGAGGCCAGGAUCAGAGGGUCCAUGACAUGCUGUCCAUGCCGAGGGUGAACUUCACACAAAAUUGCAUAACCAAAACAUCGCUAGCUAGCGACAUGCACACAAGAAAGAGGUCGAGACAAGGAACUGUACCUUUUGUGAAGGAAGCUUGCUCAAACUCAGCCUUCUCGUUGUUAAAUCUUUCACUCUAUUAUAGGCUAUUCUCAGCUUCUUGUUUGAGCUUCCCAACUGAUUUUGUCUUCUUGACAACUUCUUCCUGAAUAAGAAAGCUAACACCUUGGUAAAUUCGGACACUCUGUCUACAAUAUAGGAUUAAUCAAGUUCAGCUAUAUCCUGACAAACAAUUUAUCACACAAUCAUGGCUAUAUAUGUACUUCUCUUCAGUAUAUUUUAUAUCUAAUUAUGGAUGCAAGUAUGGGCUGUUGAGCGACGCACCAACCCAUCUAGUUAAGUGAUAUUUGCGUAAAGUGAAUGAACUUCUAGUGAAAUCUCAUUGUUAAAGGAAAUGGGUAGCACAUCAGCCCACUUGCACCUAGACAUACAUUGACAAGUACUCAGAGAAUAUCACAGAACUAUGAACAGCAGAGGUGAGAGCAAAGGGGCGUACACUCAAACAUAUAUCUUUACAGAAAACUGCAGUUUUUCAACAAGAUAUUUUAGUAACGGGGCAUCCAACCGAACCACACCACCCUUUUUUC